rnacentral:rRNA from 1 species
AGCGAACGCUGGCGGCGUGCCUAACACAUGCAAGUCGAACGUGAAAAGGGAAACCUGAGUAAAGUGGCGUACGGGUGAGUAACGCGUAGGUAAUCUACCCCAGAAUCUGGAAUAACCUGCCGAAAGGCGGGCUAAUACUGGAUAGAGCGAGGGAACUCGUAAGAGAGUUUUUCGGGAAAGGGAGCCCGCAAGGGCCUUCGUUCUGGGAUGAGCCUGCGUCUCAUUAGCUAGUUGGUAAGGUAACGGCUUACCAAGGCGAUGAUGAGUAGCUGAUCUGAGAGGAUGAUCAGCCACACUGGAACUGAAACACGGUCCAGACUCCUACGGGAGGCAGCAGUGGGGAAUCUUGCGCAAUGGACGAAAGUCUGACGCAGCCACGCCGCGUGAGUGAAGAAGGCCUUCGGGUUGUAAAGCUCUGUCGGAUGGGACGAACAUCUUCAUAGUGAAUAGCUAUGAGGACUGACGGUACCAUCAAAGGAAGCACCGGCUAACUCCGUG